rnacentral:rRNA from 1 species
AGUGUGAUCCUGGCUCAGAACGAACGUUGGCGGCGUGGUUAAGGCAUGCAAGUCGCACGAGAAAUCAGGGCUUCGGCCCCGAGAGUACAGUGGCGAAAGGGUGAGGAUAUCGUGGACAAUCUACCCAGGAGUGGGGAACAACCUUCCUAACGGGGGGCUAAUACCGCAUUCGCCCUCGAGGUCGCAUGGCCUUGAGGGGAAAGAUGGGGAUCCUUCGGGACCUGUCGCUCUUGGAGGGGUUCACGACCCAUCAGCUUGUUGGUGAGGUAACGGCUCACCAAGGCUACGACGGGUACCCGGGCUGAGAGGCUGACCGGGCACACUGGAACUGAGACACUGUCCAGACACCUACGGGUGGCUGCAGUUUGGAAUUUUGGGCAAUGGGCGAAAGCCUGACCCAGCGACGCCGCGUGAGGGAUGAAGGCCUUCGGGUUGUAAACCUCUGUCACACGUUAGGAAACGUUCGGCGGCCAAUACCCGUCGGACUUGACAAAGGCGUGGGAGGAAGCGCCGGCUAACUCUGUGCCAGCAGCCGCGGUAAGACAGAGGACGCGAACGUUGUUCGGUGUCACUGGGCUUAGAGCGUACGUAGGCGGCUCGCUUAGUGGGAGGUGAAAGCUCCGGGCUUAACCCGGAAAUUGCCUUCCAAACGGGCGGGCUUGAGGGUCUGAGGGGGAAGCGGAACUUCACGUGUAGCGGUGAAAUGCGUUGAUAUGUGAGGGAACGCCGAUGGCGAAGGCAGCUUCCUGGCAGACUUCUGACGCUGAGGUACGAAAGCGUGGGGAGCAAACGGGAUUAGAUACCCCGGUAGUCCACGCCGUAAACGAUGGGCACUAGGUAACGGCGGCUCCGAUGUCGUCGUUGCUGUAGCGCAAGCAUUAAGUGCCCCGCCUGGGGAGUACGGUCGCAAGGCUGAAACUCAAAGGAAUUGACGGGGGCCCACACAAGCGGUGGAGCAUGUUGCUCAAUUCGAAGCAACGCGAAGAACCUUACCAGGGCUCGAAAUGCACGGAUUAGCUGCCCGAAAGGGUAGUGACGCUUUACCAGUGGAACGUGUAUAGGUGCUGCAUGGUUGUCGUCAGCUCGUGUCGUGAGAUGUCGGGUUAAGUCCCAUAACGAGCGAAACCCCUGCCGUUAGUUGCCAGCGGGCAAUGCCGGGAACUCUAGCGGGACUGCCGGUGUCAAACCGGAGGAAGGUGGGGAUGACGUCAAAUCAUCAUGGCCCUUAUGUCCUGGGCUUCAAACGUGCUACAAUGGCGGAUACAAAGAGAAGCAAGACCGCGAGGUGGAGCAAAUCUCGAAAGUCCGUCCUAGUUCGGAUUGAAGGCUGCAACCCGCCUUCAUGAAGCUGGAAUCGCUAGUAAUCGCGGAUCAGCCACGCCACGGUGAAUACGUACCUGAGCCUUGUACACACCGCCCGUCAAGCCAUGAAAGCUGGGGGUACCUUAAGUCGCUGACCCAACCGCAAGGGGGGAGGCGCCCACGGUAAACCUGGUGAUUGGGGCUAAGUCGUAACAAGGUAACCAAGGGCGAA